ACGAGGGGUGCAAGCGUUAAUCGGAAUUACUGGGCGUAAAGCGUGCGUAGGCGGUUUCUUAAGUCUGCUGUGAAAGCCCCGGGCUCAACCUGGGAAUGGCGGUGGAUACUGAGAAGCUGGAGUACGGUAGAGGAAGGUGGAAUUCCCGGUGUAGCGGUGAAAUGCGUAGAGAUCGGGAGGAACAUCAGUGGCGAAGGCGGCCUUCUGGACCAGUACUGACGUUGAGGCACGAAAGCGUGGGGAGCAAACAGGA
rnacentral:rRNA from 1 species